rnacentral:rRNA from 1 species
AAUGAACGUUGGCGGCGUGGAUUAGGCAUGCAAGUCGAACGAGAUCUGUAGCAAUACAGUGAAAGUGGCGAAAGGGAGAGUAAUACGUAGGUACCUGCCCUCGGGUCUGGGAUAGCUGCGGGAAACUGCAAUAAAUACCGGAUGACGUCUCUGGACCAAAGGUGUGAUUCCGCCAGGGGAUGGGCCUGCGUCCUAUCAGCUAGUUGGUGUGGUAAUGGCGCACCAAGGCUAAGACGGGUACGGGGUGUGAGAGCAUGCCCCCGCUCACUGGGACUGAGAUACUGCCCAGACACCUACGGGUGGCUGCAGUCGAGAAUCUUCCGCAAUGGGCGCAAGCCUGACGGAGCGACGCCGCGUGUGGGAUGAAGGCCUUCGGGUUGUAAACCACUGUCAGUGGGGAGCAAAUGCAUCAGGGUUCUCCCUGGUGUUUGAGCGAUCCGCAGAGGAAGCACAGGCUAAUUCCGUGCCAGCAGCCGCCGUAACAC